rnacentral:rRNA from 1 species
GCAGUCGACGGGAAAUAUUUCAUUGAGACUUCGGUGGAUUUGAUCUAUUUCUAGUGGCGGACGGGUGAGUAACGCGUGGGUAACCUGCCUUAUACAGGGGGAUAACAGUCAGAAAUGGCUGCUAAUACCGCAUAAGCGCACAGAGCUGCAUGGCUCAGUGUGAAAAACUCCGGUGGUAUAAGAUGGACCCGCGUUGGAUUAGCUUGUUGGUGGGGUAACGGCCCACCAAGGCGACGAUCCAUAGCCGGCCUGAGAGGGUGAACGGCCACAUUGGGACUGAGACACGGCCCAGACUCCUACGGGAGGCAGCAGUGGGGAAUAUUGCACAAUGGGGGAAACCCUGAUGCAGCGACGCCGCGUGAAGGAAGAAGUAUCUCGGUAUGUAAACUUCUAUCAGCAGGGAAGAUAGUGACGGUACCUGACUAAGAAGCCCCGGCUAACUACGUGCCAGCAGCCGCGGUAAUACGUAGGGGGCAAGCGUUAUCCGGAUUUACUGGGUGU